CCUACGGGGUGCAGCAGUGAGGAAUAUUGGUCAAUGGGCGCGAGCCUGAUCCAGCCAAGUAGCGUGAAUGAUGACUGCCCUACGGUUUGUAAACUUCUUUUAUAAAGGAAUAAAGUGAAGCACGUGUGCCUUUUUGUAUUUACUUUAUGAAUAAGGAUCGGCUAACUCCGUUCCAGCAGCCGCGGUAAUACGGAGGAGGCGAGCGUUAGCCGGAUUUAUUGGGUUUAAAGGGAGCGUAGAUGGGUUGUUAAGUCAGUUGUGAAAGUUUGCGGCUCAACCUGAAAAUUGCAAUUGAUACUGGCAGUCUUGAGUACAGUUGAGGUAGGCGGAAUUCGUGGUGUAGCGGUGAAAUGCUUAGAUAUCACGAAGAACUCCGAUUGCGAAGGCAGCUUACUAAACUGCCACUGACAUUGAUGCUCGAAAGUGUGGGUAUCAAACAGGAUUAGAUACCCUGGUAGUC
rnacentral:rRNA from 1 species